rnacentral:sRNA from 1 species
UUGCUGUGAAGCGCACAAACAUUUUGUAUUCUUCGCUUAAUGA